UUUAACUAAACUAUUGAUGUCGUAAGGGAAAAUAAUGAUAAUACCUUACUAUUAGUGUCGUCCAAAUCUGGUGCCAGAAGACUCGGUAAGACCAGAGACGCAAACGUUAAUCAUCAUAAUCAGGCGUAAAGGGUUUGUAGGCACGAUUUACCAGACUAUUAAUAAUAAAAUAAAGUAGUUUAAUUUAAUGCUAGAAUCAAAAAGAGGUUAUAGUGUAUAACGCUAGAGGAGGGCUGAUAUCCAUAGAUCCUAGGAGAAUCAUCAAGGCGAAGGCCACUCUCCACUACUGAUUGACGCUGAGAAACGAAGGUUAGGGUAGGAAAUAGGAUUAGAUACCCCGGUACUCCUUUCGUAAACGAUGAAUGGUAGUCAUUAGUUAUAAAAACUAGAGACGAAGUUAACACAAUAACCAUUCCGCCUUGUGAGUACUACUGCAAAGUAGAAAACAAAAAA
rnacentral:rRNA from 1 species